CUUCACCGAGCCGAGCAGCAGCGCCCGUUCACGAUCCUGACCGUAGGUGGCCAGCAGCGCCUGCGCCUC
rnacentral:antisense_RNA from 1 species